AGAAGCAGCUAGAGGUAGAGCUGGAGCCCGAGCCAGCAAAACAGAGCCAGGGCAGGAAUAUGUUUCUAUCUUGGAAAUUCAAACAGCAUUUCACAUUAAAGUAAGAGAAGGGAGAAUUAAAUAUAACUGUGCAGUGCAACCUUUGCUUGUCAGCAACCAACCUCAUUUCUGCGUCCAAAGAGUCCACCUCCAACCUGAAGAAGCAUCUUAAAAGCUCUCCACGGUCUGCAGGAAGGACCGCAGGGCUUGGUCCUCCUCCAGGGUGGAGCAGUCCUCCUCCUCCUCCUGAAUGAUGCCACACUGCAUGCAGCGGAGGCGGGGCUCUCGUUGUCCGGCCCUGCAGACACAAGCUGUGGACAAAGACUGGGGGAACUCCUCCAUCACCAGAGACAGCAGAUGGGCAGGGAGCGUGUCCAUGCUGGUCGCCAUGGUGAACGAAUAGCCGCUCUCCCUCCUACAUGAUCAACGAUGACACAUUUCCGCAGCUUCCAUACCAGUGCACCGGAAAAAUCUCCCAGAAGCUGUUGGCAUGGGAACCUAACGGUGUGAUUUGAGAGGAGGCAGAACGUGAAAAGCUACUCACUUGUAUGGACUGUGAGGAUGACGAAUAAUGGAAGUUACACAAGCUGAGUGAUGCUGGCAUGUUUGAAUAAACAGAAGAGUGUGUAGGCUAUUUAAAGAUAAUGUUUGAGAUGCCACUCAGUUUACAGACACUACACUUUACACAUGCGAUAUCUGACUCCAAACUCAUCGAGAAUGUGAUUCAAAAACAAGAAUAACAGAUGGACGGAAGUUAUUUGUAUUACUAUUUAUUGAUGGUUGGAAACAUGUAAUUUGUUUUUUACAGUUUGUCCUGCUUUCAUCCCCAACAUGUACCCCAGGUAGU